AAAGAAUUGUCGCUAUUACUGUAUAUAAUUCAGCUGUGCCGCUCUCUGAAGGAGAAGCGAUAGAAUCAAUUUCUUGUAAAUAACAAGUUUUCCUCUCAUUUAAUCUUCGUCUCUGUUUAUCAUGGAGGAUACAGAAUUUCAAGAUGAUGACAUUCUCCGGAAAUUCAAUUUCGAUGACCUCGGCCAACUCGAUUGGGAGAAUCUCUUUACUGGAUUAUCUAACGCUUCACCUCCUCUGCUCCCGGAAUCAUCUUCUCCGGCUCAUUUCUGCAACUCCUCCCCUGAUCCUUUAUCUUCGUGGAUCGGCCAACUCGAGAACAUCCUGAUGAAAGACGACGAUUAUUCUGUCGCUGUAGAGCCUACCCAGCAAUUUUCCAACGAAUUUUUGGCUGAUAUUCUUGUUGAUUCUCCUCCCGUUGUUUCCGCUGAAGUCGUCGAUGCAGCCACCGACAAGGACUCCAGUGCUUCCGAUAAUGGUACUGGUAGUGCUUCAGAGACGGAAAAGGAUAGGAAGAAGGUGGUUGAUGAUGGAGUUGAGGUAAAAAGCGACGGUGAGGAUCACGAUGAUCCUAUCUCUAAGAAACGGAGAAGGCAGUUGAGAAAUAGGGAUGCAGCUGUUAGAUCAAGAGAAAGGAAGAAGAUGUAUGUGAGGGAUCUGGAAAUUAAGAGUAGGUAUUUGGAAGGGGAAUGCAGAAGACUGGGGCAGUUGCUUCAGUGUUUUAUGGCAGAGAAUCAAGCUCUACGUCUUAGUUUGCAGAAGGGCAAUGCAUUUGGUGUUACCUCAGCCAAGCAGGAGUCUGCUGUGCUCUUGUUGGAAUCCCUGCUGUUGGGUUCCCUGCUUUGGUUCCUGGGCAUCAUGUGCCUGUUCACUCUGCCCACACUUCCAGAGUCAAUUCCGGUGUCAGUUUCACAGGAAAACGCGGAAAAGAAAGUACCAGAAAGAGGAGCAGGAAGUAAGAUGUUUACAUCCUUGGUAAUACAAUCUUCUGUGAACAGUAGGAGAUGCAAAGCAUCAAGGACGAGAAUGAAAUCAAGAUCCAUAUUCGUUGGAGUCUUGGUGGGAGGCUCUCUUCUUUAGAGUAACUUAUUGGGAGUAUCUAUAAUCUCCACUUCUUUCAGUCUUUUCCUGUUUCAUUUAGUCUUAUAUCGUGUAUUUUGAUGGAAUGGGAGAAUAUUUUUAUAAGCAAGUGAAAAUGCUGGGGGAUUGACGAGUAAACGCAGGAAUAUAUUCUUAGCACAGAUGAGUUGAAUUAUUAUAUGUUAAUUUUGAUUAUAUAUUUUUUUAGGAAAAUUUAUUAUUUAGUUGUGGAUUUUAUCACUAAUAUAGAUUAGAUCCUGUAUUUUAGAAAUUAAACUACUUGAUUUCUCAAUUUCAUCAUGUUAAAAUUCAAAGUGCAUCCGUUUAUAUUUUGCCGAAGACCAAA
rnacentral:misc_RNA from 1 species